UAUGGCUCAGUUGGUAGAGCGCACCCUUGGUAAGGGUGAGGUCCCCAGUUCGACUCUGGGUAUCAGCACCA
rnacentral:tRNA from 22 species